AGCAGCCGCGGUAAUUCCAGCUCCAAUAGCGUAUAUUAAAGUUGUUGCAGUUAAAAAGCUCGUAGUUGAAUUUCGGGAUCAGUACGUUGGUCGUGCCUUCGGUACGUACUGGCGUUACUGGUUCCUACCUUCUGAGGAACCGUCAUGUCAUUAAUUUGGUGUGGUGGGAAAUCAGGACUGUUACUUUGAAAAAAUUAGAGUGUUUAAAGCAGGCUCGCGCUUGAAUACAUUAGCAUGGAAUAAUGAAAUAGGACGUUCGAUCCUAUUUUGUUGGUUUCUAGGAUUGACGUAAUGAUUAAUAGGGAUAGUUGGGGGCAUUAGUAUUCAAUUGUCAGAGGUGAAAUUCUUGGAUUUAUUGAAGACUAACUACUGCGAAAGCAUUUGCCAAGGAUGUUUUCAUUAAUCAAGAACGAAAGUUAGGGGAUCGAAGACGAUCAGAUACCGUCGUAGUCUUAACCAUAAACUAUGCCGACUAGGGAUCGGAUGAUGUUAUUUUUAAUGACUCAUUCGGCGCCUUACG
rnacentral:rRNA from 1 species